AGGGGCGUAGCUCAACCCGGUAGAGCACCGGAUUCCCAAAAAUCCGACGGUUGCAGGUUCGAAUCCUGUCGCCCCUG
rnacentral:tRNA from 2 species